GCUCGUGUCGUGAGAUGUUCGGUUAAGUCCGCUAACGAGCGCAACCCUCGCUGUGUGUUACAAGUGUCACACAGGACCGCCGGUCUUAAGCCGGAGGAAGGUGGGGAUGACGUCAAGUCAGCAUGGCCUUUAUGUCCAGGGCUACACACACGCUACAAUGGUCAGCACAAUAGGUAGCCAAGCCGCGAGGUGGAGCCAAUCCUCAAAGCUGGCCUCAGUUCAGAUCGCAGGCUGCAACCCGCCUGCGUGAAGCCGGAGUUGCUAGUAACCGCAGGUCAGCUAUACUGCGGUGAAUACGUUCCCGGGGCUU
rnacentral:rRNA from 1 species